CCUUUAUUUACUGCUCUGCUACUAAAUCUCGUUAGUUGAUGCCACAAGCUGUAACCUCGUCUGAACUGGCAGAGAAGACAUCCUCGCUGGAUGCUUCGCAGGCAUCUUUGGCGUCCCAAAUAAUGUUGUUUGUGCACCGUUGAGUGCGUCAAAUAGGCAGCAUUCUUUAAAGCCAGUCUUAAUAGACUGGCCUUACGGCAGGUGUAAUGGUGGAACUCAGCUUGGUACUCUGGCUAGCUGUGUUCACAAAUAUGGUCAAUAGCUAAUUUUGGGUAACAGUAUCGAGAGAAAAAAGGUCUACCUAUAUUCGAAUAAACGCCGUAAUUUUUCAUCUUGCAAAUAGCGCUGAAAUGAAAAUUUACAUAAUACUAAUGCCAUUAAUUUUUUUCUUUUUUUGUAGCCUUCAUGGAAAGGGUCUUACAGGUACUUAAUGGUAUUAAGCAGACCCAGCAGGCCCAUUCACAAUGCCUUAAUGAGCUGCUCAGCAAUGCCAACAGUGCAUCUUCACAACCUUGUGACCUCCCUGAUUUGCCUUUUUUGGAUGCGACAGACGUGCUUGACUAUGACAAAAAGCUUGAGACAGACAGACAAGCUCAACAUCAAAUGAAGAAGCACUUGGCUGUCCAAGGAGGGGACUCAACAAAACAGAAAACAACACGCGUUCUACAGUCCCUCCUUAGUAGGAACGCAGCAAUAAGCUUCAGUUGGUUUGGAACGAAGGGGAAAAAAAUUCUCAGAGUUGAAUCUGUGCAAGCUAAUGUGUGGCACAUUGACUAAUGACAUCAGGCACCCAGAUGCCACCCUUAAGGAUGUCGAGAGGGCUGCCAUGACGUGGUUCCGCCAUGCUGCCGAGCGACUUGCUGCUCAACAAAUAUAAUUUUGUUAAUUUCGCCACCAAAUAUGAUCAUGCUGAAGUCAGCUUUCUUGUUGCAGAUUUUCUGCAUGGCCUGUAUGAACAUAUUUUUUUUCACUAGUGUUUCAUCCUUUUUUUUUUUAAUGUUACCAUUUGCCACAUUCAGUGCCAUCAUUUUCUUAAUGUAUCGUUUCCUGUGCCUAGCUGAAAUUUUUAUUUCCUGAAACUUAAUUUCUUUACUGGUGCACACAGCUUGCACUGCCUAACUCUCUUCUAGCAGUGUAGGAUUAAGAGUUAAGAGAGCAGAACUAAGACUAAUUAAAUGCAUCAUUGGCCUAACUGGGAACACUGUUGUACAAUGUUUAAUAAGUGCACAGCAAUGUAUACAAAAACACCUUAGCAAGUAAAAACAACUGAAUUCUGCACUACUAGAUGAGAGUUAAGCAGGCUGUGCAAACCAGUAAAGAAAUUAGGCUCCAGUAAAUCAAAAUUUCUCUUGGGCACAGGAAACAACACAGCAAAAGAUUAUUUUAAACUUUGUAUUAGUAGGUUCUGUGACGAGAAUGUGACUUAACUACAUAUGUGUUCAUCUUAUAAUGGGAAGCGUGCAAUAAAAAUUAACAUUUCGAAAGUUCAACUGUUGUGAAGUAUUGUCUAAUUUAUAGUGCAUUGUCCAACAUGAAAUUAGUGUCGUGUAUUUACAACAAAAAAUCCAAAAACACUACAUGCUUUAACAAUUUAUUUUUCUGCCAGAGCAUUUCUAAACUUAAGCCAUCUUCAGUGUACUCCAAAAUUCGCUGCCUUGUCACAUUACUUUUUCUAUUAUUUAAUUCUGUUCUAAAACUGUUUACAGCAUAAUGGCCUUCAGUGCUUUUGUCAUUUGCUCCUUUACCUUU